rnacentral:rRNA from 1 species
CAGUAGCCACGGGAAUACAGAGGGUGCGAGCGUUAAUCGGAUUUACUGGGCGUAAAGCGUGCGUAGGCGGCUUUUUAAGUCGGAUGUGAAAUCCCUGAGCUUAACUUAGGAAUUGCAUUCGAUACUGGGAAGCUAGAGUAUGGGAGAGGAUGGUAGAAUUCCAGGUGUAGCGGUGAAAUGCGUAGAGAUCUGGAGGAAUACCGAUGGCGAAGGCAGCCAUCUGGCCUAAUACUGACGCUGAGGUACGAAAGCAUGGGGAUCAAACAGGAUUAGAUACCCCAGUAGUCCCUGUCUCUUAUAC